CUUCAAGGAAACUGGGUUGCAGCCAAAUCAUCCAAAUACGCUACACUAAACAAGGAUCCAAAACCAAACAAACACAUUUUUCCCCAUUCCGUUCCUCUGUAAUUUCAAACAAGGUAUAAUUAGCUUAUCUGUUUUUCUGUCGAACAAAACAUGGCAGAAGCUGCUGUUAUUUUUGUUUUAGAAAGGGUUGCUGAUGUACUUGCUGAAAUCCAUUUUCCCAAGGAUGUCCGUCCAGAAAUCCAGCGGCUGAGAGAUGAACUGAAGCGGAUGCAGUGUUUUUUAAAAGAUGCGGAUGCAAAGCAAGAAAGCGAUUUACAGGUACGUAAUUGGGUUUCUGAUGUCAGAAAUCUUGCUUAUGAUGCUGAAGACCUCAUUGACACACAUAUCUUAAAAAUUGAAUCCUUCAAGUACAAGAAGCGGAACUUUUUAUACAGAUAUGCUUCCACUCUCAAAGCGCGUACCAAAAUUGGGAAGGACCUUGCAGCUAUCCGCACAAGAAUCUCUGACAUUGCCAUCAGCCAUGAAGCAUAUGGCAUAAGAAGUAUCGGAGACGGAACCAGUCAUGCCAUUGCCAAUGAAAGGCUACUGAAGCUGCGGCGAACAACUCCUCGUGGUCAGGAUAAGGAUAUUGUUGGUCUGGAGGAAGAUAUAGCUACUCUGGUGGCACGCCUUGUCCUGGAGGAUCAAUGGCGAGCAAUUUCAAUAGUAGGCAUGGGUGGUAUCGGUAAGACCACUUGUGCUAAAGAAGUCUAUAAUCAUGGUGAUGUUCAAACUUUUUUUGAUUGCCGUGCUUGGGUUUACGUAUCCCAACAGUUUAGAACAAGAGACAUACUGCAGAGCAUUAUAAAACAAGUUGCAACAAGAACAAAAGACAUGACGAAGUUGUUAGAAGAAGAGUUGGAGGAAAUGCUUUAUAAACUUUUGCAAGGGAGACGCUAUUUGGUUGUUUUAGAUGAUAUAUGGAGCACCACCGCUUUUGACAGUCUUGCAAAGGCCUUCCCAAGUGAUGGCAGUGGCAAUAAAUUAUUGCUUACAACUCGCAACAACAAUGUUGCUCUGCAUGCAGAUGCCCAAAGCCUUCCCCAUGAACUGCGAUUUCGAAGCCAAGAGGACAGUUGGAAGUUGUUAUGCAGAAAAGCAUUCACCGAAAGUAUUGAUAGAGUAUGUCCUCCACAAUUGGAGGAAAUUGGGCAGGAAAUUGUGGUGAAAUGUUCUGGUCUACCACUAGCCAUCAUUGUGGUGGGGGGGGAUGCUUUCAAGGAAAAGAUGGCUGAGUGAGUGGCAAAGGGUUCUAAACACCAUCCGCUUACUCUUAGCCCGUGAUCCCAAUGGUGUCUCUGCAAUACUAGCUUUAAGCUAUUAUGACUUGCCGUAUUACCUUAAAUUUUGUUUUCUCUACUUGGGGUUAUUUCCAGAAGACUACUUAUUCUCCGCACGUAAACUUUUUAGGAUGUGGAUUGCAGAGGGCUUGAUCCCACAGCAUGGCGGAAAGAUGGAGGACGUUGCGGAGGAAUAUCUGAAUGAGCUGAUUGAUAGAAAUAUGGUUCAAGUAGCGAGGUGGAGUGCAAAUGAAAGAGUGAAACAUUGCCAAUUACACGACUUAAUGCGAGACCUCUCCAUCUCGAAGGCAAAGGCAGAGGAAUUUCUAUAUAUUCAUGGGAAUCUAGAUACAGUAGCUCCAGCCAGUUAUCAGGCUCUCUCUCGAGCCCGCCACCGUGCUAUCUACUCUAAUGGUUCUCUCUCCCUAAAAGAGUCAAGUCCCAACCUCCGGUCGCUCCUCUUCUUUAAAGUUGAUCAGAUCAAAUGUGAAAUUUCGAGUUAUGAUAUAUGUACAUGUUUUAAACUCCUUAGAGUCCUGGAAUUAGAAGAAUUGAAGGUGAGUUCAAUUCCAAGGGAAAUUGGAGAAAUGAUCCAUUUGAGGUACUUGGGAUUGAAGCAUAGCUCCAUAAAGGAGCUUCCAGAAGAAAUAGGUUGUUUGUCUAACCUGCAGACUCUUGAUAUUGCCGAAAAUUUCAGUCUUGGGAAGAUCCCUGAUGUGUUAUGGAAGAUGAAAAGCCUACGCCACUUUUACAUGCAUGCACGGCUUCUUGCUGGCAAGUUGCGAAUUGACACCCUCCAAAAUCUCCAGACUCUAUCAGACAUGCAUAUUGGUAGUUGGAAUGAAACCAGCCCCGCCAAUUUAAUCAGUCUCCGAAAGUUGGGAUUGAAAGGAAGCUUCACUGCAAACAGAGUAAGAAUUUUCAAUUCCUUAGCCAAGCUUGUAAGCCUCCACUCCUUGUCGUUGAAGUCAGUUGAUGUUGUGUUUCCAUCACUCUCUCAACUCUCUUCUCUUCGCUAUGUCAUUAAGUUGCAUCUGAGCGGUGGGAUAAUAAAGCUGCCUGAGCCACAUGAAUUCCCACCAAAUCUCAACCAGUUAACCUUGUAUCAUUCCCGUCUUGACAAAAAUCCUAUGGAGAUACUUGAGAAGCUGCCUUAUCUAUUUGUUCUCAGACUAAAAAGUUCUUCUUUCCUUGGAAAGAAACUGAAAUUUUCAGCCAAUGGCUUUCCUCAACUUGAGUUUCUAGAGCUUGAAUUUUUGGAAUUUUUGGAAGCGUUAGAAGGUGAAGAAAGUGCAAUGCCAAAGAUUAGGAGUUUACAAAUUGUCCGCUGCGGGCGAUUACGGAUGCUCCCGGAAGAGAUAAAGUAUGUAACUACUCUCCGUGAGUUAGUGUUCAAAGAUAUGCCAAGAAAUUUCCUCGAUAGGCUGCAAGGCGAAGACUCUCACAAAGUCCAGCAUGUUCCUUCUAUCGUAAAGUUAUAAUGGUCUAAUUUGCAGGCACCAGGUUCAGACAAACAAAAGUGGAUUGCGUUCUGCAUAGAUUCGUGCCGGAACAAUUUGGAUCAUGUGUUGUGCACUCACUUGUUCAGUGGCAGAAAGUUUUCUCACAUGUCAAUGAGACCAUAAAUUUCUUACCAAUUGGAGAGAAGAUCAGAAAACAUCCAGCAAUGAACUUCCAUUCUUGUUUAUUCAAACUUGUUAAGGUUAAUGUACUGUUAUAGCAAAAGCUGUGAUACAGUUAACAGCAAUGUUUAUGU